UACUGCUGUCUCUUGUCUCGUUUGUGGUCCACAGUGAUCCCAAGACCUUUUCUGCAGCAUUGCUACUUAACCUUACUCUUAUGUUCCUUAUUCUCUAUUUCUAUUUUAUGAGACUCUAAAUGGAGGAUUUUGCAAUCAUUUUGAUUGAAUUUUAUGUUUUUCAUGUUUUUUCUCUCUCUUUUUCUUUUCUUUUUUUUUUUCUUUAUUUUUUUUUCUUUCUUUUUCCCCUCCCUUCAGGCUGCUUUUCAUCUUUGGCAAGGUCACUUUGAAUUCUGAUCUUGUCUUUCAAUGUAUUUGCAGUCUCUCUUAGCCUGCUACCAUUGGGAGAUUUAAUAAGCAUACUCUCUGUUCCAUCACCCAAAUCGCUAGUGAAAACGUGGAGUAGAGGUGGAUGCUUUGCAAACCCUGCAGGCUUCUUCUGACAGGUACUUGCACAUUGGCAGUGGGCUGCUCGUAAUUGCUCUUUGUGUGUCCUGAAGACAGGUUCCUGCUGCUCGCCUGUAACAACAUGAUGUGGAACAGGGUCAAGGUCCCCGUCACAGCUGCUCUGCCCACCCGUCCUACUGCCUGGCCGCAGAAGGAGGCCAGGUGGGCUCAAUGUGGUUUGUUUGCGACAAAGCCAUGUCAGCUGUUGCUCAUCCCUUGUUUUUGCUGGAGGCUUGUUAGCUGAUUUUUCCUAGCUAUUCCAGAAGCCGAAGCUGAGCUGGCUGAUAUAUAUAAUGUCCCACGGCCUGCUGGUUUUGCCCUGUCUCAGCAGGGGGGUGUUGUUUGAUUUUUCUUUGCAGCUGGGGCUCCUGAGCAGGCUUCCAGAGCCGAAAGCUUAGCACAGUCCCGUCCGUGACUGGUUUCCAGCUUGCUAUCACAGCAUAAGCAACAACAACAUCAACGGAGUGAAAUGAAACAGUGGAUCUCACGAUGGCCUGAUGAGGUGUUCCUCCGUACGAGGAGCAGGAAGGCAGGCAGUCCGACUCACGGAGCUCCGUGCUACGCCUGUAGCCUGAGCACAAGCUCACUGCAAACGUCUGUCCCUGGGGACUCCCUGAUGUUCCGCUACCUUUCCAUCAGAGGAACAAGCUGUAGAAAAGAUGAGAAGAGGACAAACAUCACCCUUGCAAGCAGUACCUGCGGGAAGCUCUGACUCUGUGUGUUCCUCCUGGGCGCAGGUUCCUCGUUGCAGGUGGUGACGAGAGGGAUGGGGGAACUGCUGCACGGCCUCUGCUCCCAGAAAAUAUAACCAAAUACUUGUGAGUGAUUGAUGAUCAUACAGACCACAACAUGUAAACUGAGCAAAUUAUUUCCAGUUGUCGUAAUUUACCUGUGAGUAUUUUGAGGGUUGGCGAAUUAAAUUAUGGACUGGAUUGACUUGGCAGACAAGAUCAUUUGUUUUUUUGAGCUGUUCUGAGGUUCUUUCUCAUCUCCUGUCUUCUAAGUGAUAACUCUGUUCGUAUUGCUGAAUUUUAGAAUCUCUCCACUCUUGCAGGAGUUUGAACAGCUCCCUUGACUGUGCAGCACUUCUCUGCCUUGGUACUAGAGAUGUAAAAUUGAGUGAGUGAAAAAGUUAAAGCUGUCCUUCUGGGCGUGCUGCAGUUCUCUGGCUUCAGCGCUGUGCUCGCAGGUGUGGGGAGCUUUGGGUCUCAGCACCUCUACUUCACCAGCACCAGCUUUUAGCUCUGGGUUCAGACAAUGCAACCACGCUUGGCUCAGGCUCUACCUUCUGCACUUCAGGCACCGUCUCUCGUAUCCAGACAGCGUCCGCCCACCAAGUACCUUCUCCCCUUGCAUCCUUAUUCUGAGUGUCAGAAAUGCCAUGGGAUAAUUGCGGUGUCAUUGAACCUCUUGCUUUCCGGCCGAGUUUCAGAAGUGCAAAAUUAAAUGUAUUGAAAGCAAUUGAGGCCAUUGUGUCUUCCUGGUGAGCCAUGGUAACUGUCAGAGGCAGGAAUUAGUCUUGUCUGGAUACAGAAGAACAGAAAUGUUUAUCUAUUUCAGUGAGAGGUGAAAUAGAAUAUAUAGGCUGAAGCUAAAGUAUGCUAACAGGGUUGGCUGUAAUGAGAUUAUACGUCUUAUAAGCACUAAUGAUUAUAUUCCCAUUACUAAAAUAUACGUAGGGAAUGAAGACAAUUAUACUGCAAUCACUGUGG
ensembl:lncRNA